CGGACCGGCGCACGGGUGAGUAACGCGUAUCCAACCUGCCCACCACGUUGGGGAUAACCUUGCGAAAGUAAGACUAAUACCCAAUGAUAUCUCUAGAAGACAUCUGAAAGAGAUUAAAGAUUUAUCGGUGAUGGAUGGGGAUGCGUCUGAUUAGCUUGUUGGCGGGGUAACGGCCCACCAAGGCAACGAUCAGUAGGGGUUCUGAGAGGAAGGUCCCCCACAUUGGAACUGAGACACGGUCCAA
rnacentral:rRNA from 1 species